rnacentral:rRNA from 1 species
UACGGAGGGUGCGAGCGUUGCUCGGAAUCACUGGGCGUAAAGCGCACGUAGGCGGAUUGUUAAGUCAGGGGUGAAAUCCUGGAGCUCAACUCCAGAACUGCCUUUGAUACUGGCGAUCUUGAGUCCGGGGGAGGUGAGUGGAACUGCGAGUGUAGAGGUGAAAUUCGUAGAUAUUCGCAAGAACACCAGUGGCGAAGGCGGCUCACUGGCCCGGUACUGACGCUGAGGUGCGAAAGCGUGGGGAGCAAACAGG